rnacentral:rRNA from 1 species
GACGAACGCUGGCGGCGUGCUUAACACAUGCAAGUCGAACGGAAAGGCCCUGCUUUUGUGGGGUGCUCGAGUGGCGAACGGGUGAGUAACACGUGAGUAACCUGCCCUUGACUUUGGGAUAACUUCAGGAAACUGGGGCUAAUACCGGAUAGGAGCUCCUGCUGCAUGGUGGGGGUUGGAAAGUUUCGGCGGUUGGGGAUGGACUCGCGGCUUAUCAGCUUGUUGGUGGGGUAGUGGCUUACCAAGGCUUUGACGGGUAGCCGGCCUGAGAGGGUGACCGGCCACAUUGGGACUGAGAUACGGCCCAGACUCCUACGGGAGGCAGCAGUGGGGAAUAUUGCACAAUGGGCGGAAGCCUGAUGCAGCAACGCCGCGUGCGGGAUGACGGCCUUCGGGUUGUAAACCGCUUUCGCCUGUGACGAAGCGUGAGUGACGGUAAUGGGUAAAGAAGCACCGGCUAACUACGUGCCAGCAGCCGCGGUGAUACGUAGGGUGCGAGCGUUGUCCGGAUUUAUUGGGCGUAAAGGGCUCGUAGGUGGUUGAUCGCGUCGGAAGUGUAAUCUUGGGGCUUAACCCUGAGCGUGCUUUCGAUACGGGUUGACUUGAGGAAGGUAGGGGAGAAUGGAAUUCCUGGUGGAGCGGUGGAAUGCGCAGAUAUCAGGAGGAACACCAGUGGCGAAGGCGGUUCUCUGGGCCUUUCCUGACGCUGAGGAGCGAAAGCGUGGGGAGUGAACAGGCUUAGAUACCCUGUAGUCCACGCUGUAAACGGUGGGUACUAGGUGUGGGGUCCAUUCCACGGGUUCCGUGCCGUAGCUAACGCUUUAAGUACCCCGCCUGGGGAGUACGGCCGCAAGGCUAAAACUCAAAGGAAUUGACGGGGCCCCGCACAAGCGGCGGAGCAUGCGGAUUAAUUCGAUGCAACGCGUAGAACCUUACCUGGGUUUGACAUGGAUCGGGAGUGCUCAGAGAUGGGUGUGCCUCUUUUGGGGUCGGUUCACAGGUGGUGCAUGGCUGUCGUCAGCUCGUGUCGUGAGAUGUUGGGUUAAGUCCCGCAACGAGCGCAACCCUUGUUCACUGUUGCCAGCACGUUAUGGUGGGGACUCAGUGGAGACCGCCGGGGUCAACUCGGAGGAAGGUGGGGAUGACGUCAAGUCAUCAUGCCCCUUAUGUCCAGGGCUUCACGCAUGCUACAAUGGCUGGUACAGAGAGUGGCGAGCCUGUGAGGGUGAGCGAAUCUCGGAAAGCCGGUCUCAGUUCGGAUUGGGGUCUGCAACUCGACCUCAUGAAGUCGGAGUCGCUAGUAAUCGCAGAUCAGCAACGCUGCGGUGAAUACGUUCCCGGGGCU